CCUACGGGUGGCAGCAGUGGGGAAUAUUGGACAAUGGGCGAAAGCCUGAUCCAGCCAUGCCGCGUGUGUGAAGAAGGCCUUCGGGUUGUAAAGCACUUUCAGUGGGGAAGAAAGCCUUGGGGCUAAUACCCUCGAGGAAGGACAUCACCCACAGAAGAAGCACCGGCUAACUCCGUGCCAGCAGCCGCGGUAAUACGGAGGGUGCGAGCGUUAAUCGGAAUUACUGGGCGUAAAGCGCGCGUAGGCGGUCUGAUAAGCCGGUUGUGAAAGUCCCGGGCUCAACCUGGGAACGGCAUCCGGAACUGUCAGGCUAGAGUGCAGGAGAGGAAGGUAGAAUUCCCGGUGUAGCGGUGAAAUGCGUAGAGAUCGGGAGGAAUACCAGUGGCGAAGGCGGCCUUCUGGACUGACACUGACGCUGAGGUGCGAAAGCAUGGGUAGCAAACAGGAUUAGAUACCCCUGUAGUC
rnacentral:rRNA from 1 species